rnacentral:antisense_RNA from 1 species
GCGUCAGGGCCGCCGGCCUCUUCUUCGCUGUUGGAGAGCCAUAGAAUACCUGUUUCAGAGCUGAAGGGGACCUGAGCCCAUGAUAAUCCAUUACCUCGUGUGAAAGCGGAAAAACUGACUUCAGCUUGCCCAGAUGGCGCAGAGAAUGGGUUUCCCGUAACCCCGCCUGUGUCUUUCCUUCAGCCUCGUCCCAAAUGCCGUGGGAGGGAAGGCAUUCUCUGUCAAGCUGCUGUCACCUUACCUGAAGUAAGGAGUCCACGCCUGCAUGUCCGAGGAAAACAGUUUUCUCAAACACAUUAGUUGAAAAACUGAAGACACUGCCUAAAAUACAAGCUGAGUUAGAGACAGCCCUUGUAAGACUAGGCCUUCAGGGAAGACUAGAACUAUGCCACUGACUCUCCUGGUCUCCAGUUUUUCAACUUCAAAUCUUGGGAUUUAGUCUCCAUGAUCAUAAAAAGAAAUGAAAACUAAGUAACAUGAAUUAACAUAGUCCAGGGUCACAAAGCAAAAUGGAACAAGAACCUGGAUCUGAAUUCAGAGGCAGAAUGCUGGGCCUGAGAAUCAGGAGAGUCAAUGGUAUUAGUGCUGGUCCGGAAGCCAUCAUGCUUCAAAACCAAGAAGAGCUGAUUUUCCAGAUGGAGUCUAAAG